rnacentral:lncRNA from 1 species
GAGUUGAGCAGUCCCCUGGGGCAGCUAGCUGUGCUGUGGAGAUGCACACAGCUUGAACUGACUCGAUAUUCUUUUUUUUUCAUCAGGUGUCAUCUUGCUGGAGGGCAGAAGGAUUCCCUGGAACCUGGGGGCCAGCAGGACAGAGGAAACAGAAAGUACAUGACCGAUGAUGUCUUUCGACCACAGAAAGGGCUGGAAGAAGCAGGGGACCUACUGUUUGAAUAAACCCAGUGGAAAAACAGAAGCCCCAUUUCAUACUUGACUCAGCUCUUCAAGUUUAAAUCUUGAAUCUCCUCAACUACACGGAACAGUGUCUCUCCCAAGUCAUCUGACACCCACUCUGUUCUCUGGAUCAUUCCUUCCUAGAGAACGUUGCUCUUGGAGGGCUGUGAUCUGCUCUCACCCACUUGCCUUUCUGACCCACUGAGUGCAUCUCAACAGUCACUUGGGGUGAUCCGAUCUGACCAGGAAGGGUUGGGUGGCUCGUGGAGCUUGGGAAGCACUCUCACUGUGGCGGUCCCCAUUGGUGGUCAUGGGGUUGCCACAGUGAGCUACGUUUCUACCCUCAUCUCUCUAUAUGUUACCGUGGAAUCUCUGACUGAGGACCCAUGGGCUCACCCAAUGUGAUAAAGUCCUGAAGCUCAGCCGGGACGUCCGACCCCAGCUGCAGGACUUUCCAAUAGACAGAUGCAUAGAACUUGAGAAGAAAUCGACUUAGAAACCUGAAGUUGGAAAACUGGUUGCCUGACAUUCUGUGCAAGACUGAAUCUCUGAGAAAUGAAGGCUGUGUAACUUUGGGACCAUGUCUUUUCCAGCCUACAUAGACCCCCAGGAAACUUUGCAGUUGUUCCCCAAGUAUGGAUGGAGUCAAACUUGAUGUCCUUUCAUCCCCCCAUCCCAUCCACUAAUCCAUAUCCUUUGGAAAUUUUAGAGUGCCGGGCCUCAUGUAAAUACACCAAAAACAAUUUAAGUCAUUUAUGUUCUACUAAGCCAAGAGUUCUUUAGCGGUGGAAGAAGAUGGGGUCUUACACGAAUGGAAGGGUCUUGGCUAUUUGCGUCGGUAUCAACAGAAGGACUAGACGCUUGCACUAAAAGAAAAAGCUGAGGGAUGGGGGCAGGAAGCGGGAAGCUGGGACCCAAGCCCCACCUUCCUGAGUUGGAAGGUGACAGGUAGACUCCUGCUUGUUUGCCAGAGAGGCCUGGCAGAGGAGUGACAGGGUUUCAAUCUGCAGUGGCAACAUCUCUGCAACCCUG